rnacentral:rRNA from 1 species
AAUGAACGUUGGCGGCGUGGAUUAGGCAUGCAAGUCGAGCGAGAACCGUAGCAAUACGGGGACAGCGGCGAACGGGAGAGUAACGAGUGGAGUACCUACCCUAGGAUCCGGGAUAGCUGUGGGAAACCGCGGGUAAUACCGGAUAAUGUCCGAGGACCAAAGGUGCGAUUCCGUCUUGGGAUGGCUCCGCUUCCUAUUAGCUAGUUGGCGAGGUAACGGCUCACCAAGGCAACGAUGGGUACCGGGUGUGAGAGCAUGACCCGGCUCACUGGGACGGAGACACUGCCCGGACACCUACGGGUGGCUGCAGUCGAGAAUCUUCGGCAAUGGGCGCAAGCCCGACCGAGCGACGCCGCGUGCGGGAUGAAGGCCUUCGGGUUGUAAACCGCUGUCGGAGGGGGAUGAAAUACCAGGUAGUAAUCUGUUUGGUUUGACAUAUCCUCGGAGGAAGGACGGGCUAAGUUCGUGCCAGCCGCCGCCGUAACAC